rnacentral:lncRNA from 1 species
GCACUUUGUUACACAAUGGUUUCCUCAAGCUUUCCCAUGUUUCUACUUCUCGGCAGCUGGCUUAUCUAUUGACCAAGGCUUUAUCUGGGACUGCUCUCUCUCCUCUUUUUUCCAAGUUGAUGGUGGUUUCCCCCCCUUCAACUUGAGGGGGGGUGUUGAGAUAUAUAUAGUCGAUGAUGAUAAACCACCGUUAAGGGUCAAUAAGGGAGUCAUAUCUGAGCCUAAUAGGCUACUUAUGUAAUUAGGUUAUUCUUGUAAUAAGCUUAUUUUCUGUAGUUAGGCUAUAUGUGUAAAUAGGCUAUUUCUGUAAUUGAU